UCCCCAAGCUGGACUGACAAAAGGAGAUGUGGACAGUAGGCAACAAGAACUGCAGCACCAUCACACCGCAGCAGGCUGAUGAAAGCAAGGCGGCUCUGUCAGCUCAGCUGAGGACUUAAGUCCAGAUACCCAGGCUGAAUUCCCUGCAGCUGGGGCAGAGCCCCUUUCCAGGUAAGCCGUAGGAGAAGCCCUUCCAAUUUCAUUUCAGCCCAACUCUGUUCUCGGUUGCCUUUCUAAAGGCCACAUGGGGGAAGAACACACACAGAAAGAGCACUCCUUCCUGUACACGCAUCUCAGGUUUCAGCUCUUGGUGCUGGACAAACAUGCUCUCAAGUGUUUUCUGGACACAGGGGUCAAGACAACAGAGGCAGGCAAGAUACACCAGCCACACUGAUGAGCGUGCGCUCUUGGUGAGGCCAACCAUUCAGCCCCAUGACGAAAACAGGCUCUUCUGUCUGGCCCUGAGUGAGCCAGGCGGAGGGCGCAGACGCAGACCUCAGUCCCGCGGGGUCUGCCCUCCCUCCAAAGGCCGGCAAAACAACGCCCCAGAGGGAAAGGUUUCCAGACCUGAGGGGCAAUGAGCAGGAGCUGGCAAGUGGAUGUGUUCACUUUGUGAGAACUCCUUCAGCGUUACAUUCAGGAGUGUAGGAAUAUUCUAUUUUCUAAAUGCACACCUCAUUUUCUUCAUGCAACAUCCUUAUAAAAGGAUUGGUAAGACCAUUUUACUAGCCGUAGGAUGGAAGAAAAAUGUGAAGCAAUUCUCAAAGUGCCGUAUAACAAAUUUGGGUAGUCUGGCGUUUAAGGACAAAUCUGAUCUCAAGACUGCUAGCCCUCACUGCCUACUGCUAAUCGAUUCCUACGAGAAGCAGAUGCUCUGAUUGAGAAAACCAAACGCACAUCAUGAGGCAAGGAAUCAAAACAGUUCUCUGAAACACAGCAUACAAAGGAAGUGGGUAACAAGUCCAAAUGGUGACAUUUAACAACCUUUAAGUGGUCAGGCACUUGGCCAUCUUCAGACCUUGUACAAGUAAGGAAUUGGCUCUACCACAAACAGAAAAAGCUUCAGCUUUUGUUUAUG